rnacentral:rRNA from 1 species
UACGGAGGAUGCGAGCGUUAUCCGGAUUUAUUGGGUUUAAAGGGUGCGUAGGCGGGAUGCCAAGUCAGCGGUAAAAAUGCGGUGCUCAACGCCGUUGAGCCGUUGAAACUGGCGUUCUUGAGUGGGCGAGAAGUAUGCGGAAUGCGUGGUGUAGCGGUGAAAUGCAUAGAUAUCACGCAGAACUCCGAUUGCGAAGGCAGCAUACCGGCGCCCUACUGACGCUGAGGCACGAAAGCGUGGGGAGCAAACAGG